rnacentral:rRNA from 1 species
GACAGAGGGUGCAAACGUUGUUCGGAAUUACUGGGCGUAAAGCGCGUGUAGGCGGCUGGUUAGGUGUGAUGUGAAAUCCUCGGGCUCAACCCGAGAACUGCAUUGCAAACCGGCCUGGCUAGAGUGCAGGAGAGGGAAGCGGAAUUCCAGGUGUAGCGGUGAAGUGCGUAGAUAUCUGGAGGAACACCAGUGGCGAAGGCGGCUUCCUGGCCUGUAACUGACGCUGAGACGCGAAAGCGUGGGGAGCGAACCGG